CGGAACAACAACAGUGAAAAUGUUCUUGGUUUAGGCCAUAAGUCAGAAGUGCAUUAUUGCAUAUUGGGUCAAAAUAGUAUGUAUUUUGUUUUUUAAUAAAACUGGACUUGUGAAUGGCGUAUAGAAGGGUUUAGAUUCUGUUCCACAGAUGGCGCUAAUGCACACGAAAGCUGCUUGCCAACCGCCAAUAAGCAACAGAAGAAGAAAAACACCACGAAGAAGAACACAGUCUGACAACUUUCCGAUUGAGCGGGUACAAGAUACCUCAAUCGGAUUGGGGGAAGGAAUAUUCUGUUCCUGGGAAUCUGAUUAUAUUUUCAUUCGGAUUGGCACUUUUCUUUCGGAAUGAGAUUUCUUUCCAUUGAAGUACGGGAAAGGAUUCCACCAGGAUAGAAGAUGUCAGGGAUGACCCUGCUGCUGAGUAGAAAAGACAAGCCAAAAAGGGAAAUCUUGACCGGACAGGGUGUUCACCGAGAAACAUUUGCAAAGUAGCCAUCCACAGCUUGAGUAGCAUUCUGUGCACAGACAUGGAGACAGUGGGUGCACUGUGGAGGACUUGGACUCACUCCAGAGCCUCUCGAGAACAUUCCAUUGAGAGUCUGCUCGCCGGUUGGCCGCGAGGCUGGUGAAGCGAGAGCCGAGGGAGAAUGGCACGCCUCAAUAUACAAAUCUGACGACACCACAAGACAAAGACUGGGGUGUGUGGUAGCCAAACAUAUGAGCAGACUGGGUUACAACAAAGAACAGUGUGUUCAAGUGCCACACAAUCACCAGACUGACUCUUAUUUCUAAGUAUUUGAAAGUAGGACUGUAGAAAAGUACUACACACACACACACACGUGUACACAUAAAGAAACCGCAUCGUCUUCUGAGGUACAAUUUCACUCAACCUAAUUACAGUGGGCUGCCGCAUUUCUCAUUUGGGUUGCCAAAAACUCUCAACAUUUACCACUUACAGGUCAUGACACAUACAUUUAUAUCUGGAUACAGGAAAAACACUGCAUUUUAUAUGCACUUCUAAAUGAUACGUGUAUGUAUGUAAUGUUUAGGGCAGGGGUCUCAAACAUGUGGCCCGCAGGACACUAGUUUGAGGCCCCCGCCUUGAUAUGAAAGUUUAAUGUUAGUGCGGCCCGCGUAAGUUCGAUAUGGAUGCUGUAUGGUAUCAUGU